AAAUGUGAGUUGCAGGCGAACCGAAGGGUCUCGCCAUAGAUUGGAUAAAUGGAAAAUAAGUAUUGUCAUUGAACAUUAUUAUUCGAAUAUGGAUCGAACUUGUUAGCAUGGUAGUAAACCUUUACUAUAUGAUGCAUGCAUUCAUUACACAUGAUUAUGGGCAUAGUAGCAUAGAUUUCCUAUUAUGUCAUUUACAGCUUUGAGAUAUCUAUCUAUCUACCUACUUGUUGUUAGUUGUGCCCACUUGGACCUAGUGGGGAGACCGGC
rnacentral:lncRNA from 1 species